AGCACAGCUGCUGGAUGGUGGAAAUGGCAACUUACACCACUCAAAGCACCCAAAGGCAGGAGGACACACGCAAACCACACGAUUUUCGAGCAGAAACACCUCAGAAACCCCCCCUGUGCUGGCCCGUCCCCACCUCACGCCGUGGGGGUACUUUUCCUUCCCCCCCCCCCCUUUUUGUCACCCACGCUCUGCCCCUUCAGCAACUUCGCGCUGCUCCCACCUCCGCGCUGGGCCGGGAGGGGCCGGCAUUGUGUCGCUGUGAGGGGAGGGGGGGCAUUUUCUUUGAUAUUUUUUAAAUUUGGGGGUAAAAACAACAAAACCGGAGGGGACCAGCCCCUUCCACUCGCUGCCACAGCGCAGCCGGGCCCCGCCGCGUCCCUUCCGGCCUCGGCCCCGCCGCCACCGCCGGGGGCUGAGCAGCGGCGAGCGGGGCCCCGCCCCCCCCCCCCCCCCCCCCCCCCUUCCUCCUCCUCCUCCUCCUCCUCCCGGAGCCCCGGGCGGGCGGAAGCGGCGCCGGACGAGGUGGGGCCGGGCUCGGACUUCCCGCAGCCGGCACCGCCACCGGGGCUGCGGCUGGGGCUGGGGCUGGGGCUGGGGCUGGGGCUGGGGCCCGGCCCUCCCCUCCCUCCCCUCGCCCCGCCGCCGGGGCCGCAACUUUCCGCCCCCGCUGCAACUUCGGCCGCGGGCAGCAGCAGCAGCGGCGGCGGGGCGAGGGCCGGGCACGGCCCCAUCACCCUCCCCCCCCAUUCCCCUGCUCCCCCCCAACUCAGCGCCCCGCAGCCUCGAGGCAUCGGCGGCGGCUCCGCCAUGUUCCUGCCGCUGCCCCCAUCUCCCCUCCCCGCCCCGCCGCCGCCGCCUUACCCCGCCGGCCGAGCUCCCGCUGAGCUCCCGAGCUCCGCUCCGCCGAGCUCCGCUCCGCCGCCGCCUCUGGGCUGCCUGUGCCGGGGCGCGGCUUGGGGCCGUCGCCGUGACGCCGCACGGCCAGCCUCGCUCUGGCGGCGGGGCGGGGACGGGAAGGGAAGGGAAGGGACGGGAAGGGAAGGAGGGAGGGGAGGGGAAGGGAAGGGAAGGGCUGACCCUGCCACCGCGCAGGCGCCCGGCCCCCUUCCCUUCACCCCCGGCCCCUUCCCUUCGCCCCCUUCUCCUUCCCUUCCCCGCCUUCCCCUCAGCGCUGCCCGCCCUGAGGGGACGCAGCCCCCCGGGUCUGUCCCGGCUUCACGGGGUUCCCCCCCCUCUCUCCGUGUAAUGGUGGCCGCGGGUCAGCGCUGA
rnacentral:lncRNA from 1 species